rnacentral:rRNA from 1 species
UGCCUACGGGGCGCAGCAGUGGGGAAUAUUGGGCAAUGGGCGCAAGCCUGACCCAGCAACGCCGCGUGAAGGAAGAAGGCUUUCGGGUUGUAAACUUCUUUUGACAGGGAAGAGUAGAAGACGGUACCUGUCGAAUAAGCCACGGCUAACUACGUGCCAGCAGCCGCGGUAAUACGUAGGGGGCAAGCGUUAUCCGGAUUUACUGGGUGUAAAGGGAGCGUAGACGGUUAAUCAAGUCAGAAGUGAAAACC